AUCAUGGAGAGUUUGAUCCUGGCUCAGAACGAACGCUGGCGGCGCGUCUUAAGCAUGCAAGUCGAGCGGCAGGGGGC
rnacentral:rRNA from 1 species